UUCUAACUGUGAUAUAGUUGCCUUUGUCACAGACAAAACUCAAUGUCUGUUUUAUUACUGAAAACAAAGUUCAUACUGAGGAAUAACACUUUUCAUGUUGAUGGCUCCCAUUAUAAACAAGUUAAAGUACGACAAUGGGAACAAAUGUAGGAGUAUGUAAUUAUGUAUAUAUAAGCAAGUGUAUUUUAAUUUGUAUUUUAAUCACUAAGUCUAGCCCUAGCUUAACCACUCAAUCUAACCUGCUUCACUUUCACAAUAGCACUCUCACCCUUGCGCUUACGUUGUCUAUUGUAUCUAUUGUCUUGCUCCAGCCCCAGGCCCCUUAGUUUCAAUAGCAGGGUGUUUUGUGGGUCAGCUAUCAUUUUCACUUCAGUCUGUCUGGUCACUGGUCACAGCUAGCAACAGCUUAUAACAGGUGUGGCAAACAUAGUUCCUGACGUUUGUGACGGUAACGGGCACAGUGCCAUACACUCGGGCCUUCUUCAGUUAUUGCCAUUAAACUGACAUCUAC